GCUAGUAUAGUUUAGUGGUUAGAACAUAUCCCUCAUAUGGAUAUAGCGUAAGUUCAAUUCUUACUACUGGCC